UUUAAGGUAGUUUGGCAUGUGUUUUGAUAACAUUUCUAGCGAGAAGUUUGCUUUUUUUUUUUUAAUCUUUGUAUGAUGCCCAACGACAAAAACCUCCUAACUGAAAAAUGCACUUUUUUGAGGAAACUAAAAAAAACUUGUUUACUUGCAGAAUGCUAUUUGUUAAGGAUGCUCAAUACAUAAUUCACUGUUUUUGGACUAUAUAACUAUAUUAUGUGCUAACAAUACCGACUAGGUAUUAGUGCCUCACAAAGUGCAGAUAGGAAGUUUUUCCCCACUUUUCCUGGAUCAUCUUGCAGAUAGGAGCUUUUGCACUUGGUGCAAGUUGGAAGAGGUUCUACAAAACGAUGCUCUAAAUUAAGUUUGUUUUCAGGUACAACGAUGGGCUAAUUUAGUAAAUGUAAUAGUUACUAUAUUGUAGCAUACUAGGGUCACAAUUCCUUAAGUGGGAAAUUCAGUGUAUUCGCUUCCUUGUCCACUGGAAAUGAAUGUGGCCGAGUUUCCCCAUAAUGUUCAGUGAUUGUGUAACCCACUCGUGCUGUAGCCUCUCUAGACACCCAGGGACUCUGCAUUGUAUUUUUGUUUUGUUCUGCACUGGGAUGUUGUGCAGAGAGAAGGAAAGCAUCGGACACAGGAGCUCAGGAUUGUGGUUGAGACGUGGUGGCAUUAAUUGGCUCACACUGGCAGCUUCUGUCUCUGGUACUGCUGGCUCGACUUUACAAGACUUCACAAGAUGACGGGCUCAGUCCGCAAGUCCGGAGGAAGGACAUCGAUUCAGCCACACUGUGGGCUGGUGGAGUAAUGAGGAGCAGGUGUGCAGGUGUUCCAGGCUCACUGACAAGACUAAAGGUACGGUCACACCAACACCAUCUCUUCAAAUAUUUCUCCCUCUUUUCAUUCUCUUCAGUUGAAGCCUGUAUGACUGACGAAUUCAAGGAUGCAUUUCCUAUUUCGGUGUGAUAUCCUGAGCGGCUCUGGUGGACUCGUCAAGUCAGAGUUUGUCUUUGUUCAAGGUUGUUGUUUUGUGCCACUAGUACGCUCACUGCCUGUUGUCCUCAUUAAGAUUUUAGUCUAUUUCUAAUGUGUUUACAUCUGUAAAUAUCAUGCAGCAGAAUAAAAUAAAUGUCUGUAAACUGCUCUCUCUCAGUACAGAGACUCAGCCAAAGUGUGUCAUUUUAUAUCUGUGGUGUUUCUUGUUUAUUAUGCAAGUGUGAGUAUAAUCCAUAUGUGACACUGUGUGUGUUUGUGUGUGUUGGAGUGAAUUUUUUUUGGCUCCAGCUCCUUUUUUUUUCCCAUUCAGCUCAUUAGAGCCGCAGACUCACAG